GCGUCGCUAGGGGAGACCCCCAGAACCCCCCGAGAGGGCUGAAAGUGGAUUUCGGUCCACGGACACUGAAUCGUUGCAAUUCUAAAAGUAGCGUCUGUGGGUGGGUUAAACCUCAAAAGUCAGAGAAGGUGAUAAGGAUUUGUAAUAAGGGGCUUUGGAGGUGUCGUUUCGAAGGCGGGAACGUUUGAAAAUCCAAAAAUCUGUGAUUGAACGGGAUUGAUAGUCGAUACGGUCCAGUCUUGUGCUCUUACAAAUGUCGAAACCUAAAGUGUAUAAAUGAGAGCCGUAUUUGAGUGUCUAACAAGUCAGUCACGUCCAGAGAAAAUCGAUUGACGUUCAAUUUAGUCAUCUAUGCAGGCAAUCUGGGCCAGCAUGUAAGAUAUGUGGACACGGUGAUGAGCAGCUGUAGCCUGUAUACACUAAUAUAUACAAAUACAUGAAGACAAUAUACAAUAUAGUAGGUACAUGAUUUUAUUAUACUUAUUAUUAGCCAUUAGGUACUGUUUUCUUUAUGUUUAUUUAAGUGUAAGUGAACCGCAUAACAGAGCAUACAUUAAACAACAUAAGAACAGUUGAACCUUGCUCAUUGAAUGUAUAUUAUACGAUUCAGUAUUAUUCUGGAAUCUGGAAUUAUAAUCUACAUCAGUCAGCCUAAAAUAUAUAUUAUAUUUUAAUUAUUAUAUUCUCUGUUUGAGUGAUUUCAGUUAAAGUUAGUAUAAAAAAUAAUGAAAAUCAAUUUACAUGACAUUAGUAUGCGUUUUACAGACACAGAAUUUAGAAUUCUUAAAACCUGAGUUCAGUUACAGCUGUACCCUCAGUAAAACUCAAAGUAGAUGUGCAGUUUGUGUAAAAAGAAUAGCCAUAAGACUAUAAAUUAUCAUAUAAUGUUUUAUUUAUUAUAAUUUUUUCACUAUUUUAUGAUAAAUUGCCUUAUUUAUAUUGAUUUUUGUAUCAAUGAAUCACAUAAUAGAGUUAACAUUAAAUGCAAAUUCAAUUAUUAUAUUAUCAAACAACAGAAUUAUGUGUAGGUAAGUCAAGCAAUAUAGAGGUGUCAACGUUAGUUUAACUUAUUAAAUGAAAAUAAAUAAUUUUGUAAAAAAAAUUAGCUUUGUUUGUCAAUUUUCUGUUUAUUAAUUUGAAAAUUAAAUACAUUGUAAUCAUCGACAUGUCAGUAGCAAAUAUUAUGCUAGUACACUGCAAUUUCUAAUAUAUCUUGUUAAAAAAUUAAAGAUUUUACAAUAGGCAUGUGCUAAUAUUUAAUAUAUAUAUAUAUAAAUACAUAGACACAAUAUAAUCAAUUAUGAAAUACCUAUAUGUAGUUAAAGACUAAAGAGCCUAUGCAUUAUCUAUAUUAUUAUGUAGAUAUUGUCUUACUUAUGUUGAUUUAAGUAUUAAUGUACCAUGUAACAGUCAUAUUUUGUAUUGAACAUUGCUCAUUAAAAUAAAAUCCAGUUGAUACUUGUGUUCAACAAUGCUCAAAUCUAUAAUAUUAUCCUGGAUUUACUAUAUACAUCAGUCUGCCUAAAAUACAAAUUUAACAGUACCUAUUUAUUAUGUACUAUCUUUGAGUAAAUUCAAACAGAAAUAACAGAAAUGUGUGUAGGUACGUCUAGCAAUGUCUAGUUAAUGUUAGUUUAACUUAUUAAAUACAAUUAAACAGUUGACGGGAAGGAAAUAGCUCUGUCGAUGAAUAAUAAAUGUAAU